rnacentral:rRNA from 1 species
AACGAACGCUGGCGGCAUGCCUAACACAUGCAAGUCGAACGAGACCUUCGGGUCUAGUGGCGCACGGGUGCGUAACGCGUGGGAACCUGCCCUUAGGUUCGGAAUAACUCCCCGAAAGGGGUGCUAAUACCGGAUAAUGUCUUCGGACCAAAGAUUUAUCGCCUUUGGAUGGGCCCGCGUUGGAUUAGCUAGUUGGUAGGGUAAAAGCCUACCAAGGCGACGAUCCAUAGCUGGUCUGAGAGGAUGAUCAGCCACACUGGGACUGAGACACGGCCCAGACUCCUACGGGAGGCAGCAGUGGGGAAUAUUGGACAAUGGGCGAAAGCCUGAUCCAGCAAGGCCGCGGGAGUGAUGAAGGCCUUAGGGUUGUAAAGCUCUUUUACCCGGGAUGAUAAUGACAGUACCGGGAGAAUAAGCACCGGCUAACUCCGU